rnacentral:lncRNA from 1 species
CAAACCAUACGGCCUCCUUCAAGCAUUACCCAUUCCCACCCAUACAUGGGAAGAUAUAACCAUGGACUUUAUAACCCACUUACCGCCAUCUAAUGGUAAAACCGCCAUUUGGGUUCUAGAUGAUCGGCUCUCAAAGUUUGCCCAUUUUAUCGCUUUACCUAAUCACUUCACAUCUAUAUCACUCGCAACAAUCUUCCUCCGAGAAAUCUACCGUAUCCAUGGCCUCCCCAAGACAAUUAUCUCAGAUAGAGAUCCACUCUUUCUAAGCCAAUUUUGGACUCAACUCUUCAAACAACUAGGCACCAAACUGAAACACUCGAGUGCCUACCACCCGCAAGCCGACGGACAAACCGAAGUGGUCAACAGAUGCCUCGAAUCCUACCUCCGUGCUUUCACCUAUGAUGAACCCCGCUCUUGGCAACGAUUCCUCUACCUUGCAGAGUUUUGGUAUAAUACGAGUUUUCAUUCAUCCAUCCAAAUGACCCCCUUUAAAGCCAUGUAUGGAAGGGAUGCCACUACAAUUCACGACUACACAUCGGGGAUGAAUCGUACAGCCUCUAUCGACAACUCCCUGUUAGAACACCAACGCAUCAUCGAUCUUCUCAAAGUCAAUCUCAGCCAAACCCGCACCAGAAUGAUCAAACAGGCAAACAAGAAACGUCAAGACAAGCAAUUUUCAGUUGGAGAAUUGGUUUAUCUUCGCUUACGAAACUAUCGUCAACACUCAGUAGUUUCGCGAGAAAAUCAAAAGCUAUCCAAACAAUAUUUUGGACCCUACAAAAUACUCGAACGAAUCGGUCCAGUGGCGUAUCGACUACAAUUACCAGAAACUUCCAAUGUACACCCAGUUUUCCAUGUGUCCCUAUUGAAAACCUGUCACACCACAGAAGUCUCACACGAGUUUCCAACUGAAUGGAUCAACGAUCUCCAAGCCACAACAACAACUCCAGCACAGGUCAUUAAUCAACACCAACUCCAGUCAGGGAUUCAACAAGUACUCAUUAAAUGGACCGACAAAGAUAUUUCUGAAGCCACAUGGGAAGACGCAGAAGAGAUCAAACUCAGGUUCCCGGAUUUUCCUUCCGGACUCGAGGACGAGUCCAAUUUGGAGAAUGGGGGUAUUGAUACAGCCCAUUCAGCAGCCCAAGAACAGGCCCGACUGGAAGACCCACAAGCUACUAGUCGACCUCGAAGGAUCAUCAAGAAACCCAACAGAUACUUGGAAGAACUAUGAGCUUUUACUCAGUCAACUAGUCACAUAGGAUUCUCUUUAAUUCCACACAUGUUGCAUGCAUUCCUAAGAUGUUGGGUUCCACUAUACACCCACGUCCCUAGAUAUUAGUAGCAUUAGUUCAAUCAUUUUUUAUUUAAGCAUUGUAAGUUCAUAUGAAAAGGAAAAACACAGAAAAUUGCUCCCGUCUUGCUUCUCUCUCUGACAUUCUCUGGAGGUUAACCACCUCGAAUUAGGUUCUAUCACAUACCUAGAGAGUAAAUAUUUAUCUAAGCAUAAGACAUGUAUUAUAAAUUAUUAAAUUAAAAAAAUCAGAUUAAUACUUUUAUAAGAUAGUAGCCCGCAAACAUUUCAAUAUGUACAACAUAUAAGAUACAAUUCAAUUUUAUAAUCAAUAAUAAUGUUUACUUAAUAAUCGUUUCGCUAACGUCCAUAAUUUUGAAUGGAUGAGUAAAUAAAUAAUGGGGGUGGACAAGGAAGAUGUAGGGGGUCAGUUGUGGGACGAAAAUAAUAUUAACAAUUUUGAUACCAACAAAAU